rnacentral:rRNA from 1 species
AUUGAACGCUGGCGGCAUGCCUUACACAUGCAAGUCGAACGGUAACAGGUUAAGCUGACGAGUGGCGAACAGGUGAGUAAUGUAUCGGAACGUGCCCAGUCGUGGGGGAUAACUGCUCGAAAGAGCAGCUAAUACCGCAUACGACCUGAGGGUGAAAGCGGGGGAUCGCAAGACCUCGCGCGAUUGGAGCGGCCGAGAUCAGAUUAGGUAGUUGGUGAGGUAAAGGCUCACCAAGCCGACGAUCUGUAGCUGGUCUGAGAGGACGACCAGCCACACUGGGACUGAGACACGGCCCAGACUCCUACGGGAGGCAGCAGUGGGGAAUUUUGGACAAUGGGCGCAAGCCUGAUCCAGCCAUGCCGCGUGCGGGAAGAAGGCCUUCGGGUUGUAAACUGCUUUUGUCAGGGAAGAAAUCCUCUAGGUUAAUACCCUUGGGGGGAUGACGGUACCUGAAGAAUAAGCACCGGCUAACUACGUGCCAGCCGCCGCCGUAAUAC